GCCGCGGUAGCCCAGUUGAUAGAGGCGUCGGCAGUACUGAUGCUGGAAGUCGCAGGUUGAAAUCCUGUCUGCGGUG